rnacentral:rRNA from 1 species
GUGCCAGCAGCCGCGGUAAUACGUAGGUGGCAAGCGUUAUCCGGAAUUAUUGGGCGUAAAGCGCGCGUAGGCGGUUUUUUAAGUCUGAUGUGAAAGCCCACGGCUCAACCGUGGAGGGUCAUUGGAAACUGGAAAACUUGAGUGCGGAAGAGGAGAGUGGAAUUCCAUGUGUAGCGGUGAAAUGCGCAGAGAUAUGGAGGAACACCAGUGGCGAAGGCGACUUUCUGGUCUGUAACUGACGCUGAUGUGCGAAAGCGUGGGGAUCAAACAGGAUUAGAUAC